rnacentral:rRNA from 1 species
CAGUUCAGAUUGUAGGCUGCAACUCGCCUACAUGAAGUCGGAAUUGCUAGUAAUCGCGGAUCAGCAUGCCGCGGUGAAUACGUUCCCGGGCCUUGUACACACCGCCCGUCAAGCCAUGGGAGCCGGGGGCGCCCGAAGUCCGGGACCGCGAGGACCGGCCUAGGGCGAAACUGGUAACUGGGGCUAAGUCGUAACAAGGUAAC